rnacentral:rRNA from 1 species
AACGAACGCUGGCGGCAGGCUUAACACAUGCAAGUCGAACGCCCUUCUUCGGAAGGGAGUGGCAGACGGGUGAGUAACGCGUGGGAACCUACCUAUCGGUUCGGAACAACAGUUAGAAAUGACUGCUAAUACCGGAUACGCCCUGAGGGGGAAAGAUUUAUCGCCGAUAAAUGGGCCCGCGUUAGAUUAGCUAGUUGGUGAGGUAAUGGCUCACCAAGGCUACGAUCUAUAGCUGGUUUGAGAGGACGACCAGCCACACUGGGACUGAGACACGGCCCAGACUCCUACGGGGGGCAGCAGUGAGGAAUCUUGGACAAUGGGCGCAAGCCUGAUCCAGCCAUGCCGCGUGAGUGAAGAAGGCCUUAGGGUUGUAAAGCUCUUUCAACGGUGAAGAUAAUGACGGUAGCCGUAGAAGAAGCUCCGGCUAACUUCG